rnacentral:rRNA from 1 species
UACAGAGGGUGCUAGCGUUGUUCGGAAUCAUUGGGCGUAAAGGGCGUGUAGGCGGUUUGUUAAGUCAUGUGUGAAAUCCCUCGGCUCAACCGGGGAACGACGCAUGAAACUGGCAAGCUAGAGUACCAAAGAGGGGGGUGGAAUUCCCGGUGUAGCGGUGAAAUGCGUAGAUAUCAGGAGGAAUACCGGUGGCGAAAGCGACUCUCUGGACGGUAACUGACGCUGAGGCACGAAAGCGUGGGGAGCAAACAGG